AUGGCAACCUGGGGCUCGGCGCGGAAGCGGCUGCUCAAAGAGGAAGACAUGACCACAGUGGAAUUCGAGACCAGCGAGGAGGUGGAUGUGACCCCCACGUUCGACUCUAUGGGCCUGCGGGAGGACCUGCUGCGCGGCAUCUACGCCUACGGUUUUGAAAACCCUUCAGCGAUCCAACAGCGAGCUACCAAGCAGAUAAUUAAAGGGAGAGACGUCAUCGCACAGUCUCAGUCUGGCACAGGUAAAACAGCCACCUUCAGUAUUUCAGUCCUUCAGUGCUUGGAUAUUCAGGUUCGUGAAACCCAGGCUCUGAUCUUGGCCCCCACGCGAGAGCUGGCUGUGCAGAUCCAGAAGGGCCUGCUUGCUCUCGGCGACUACAUGAACGUCCAGUGCCACGCCUGCAUCGGGGGCACCAAUGUGGGCGAGGACAUCAGGAAGCUGGAUUACGGACAGCACGUCGUCGCAGGCACACCAGGGCGCAUCUUUGAUAUGAUUCAUCGAAGAAGUUUAAGGACACGAGCUAUCAAGAUGUUGGUUUUGGAUGAGGCUGAUGAAAUGUUGAAUAAAGGCUUCAAAGAACAGAUUUAUGACGUGUACAGGUACCUGCCUCCGGCCACACAGGUGGUCCUUAUCAGUGCCACGCUGCCCCAUGAAAUCCUGGAAAUGACCAACAAGUUCAUGACAGACCCAAUCCGCAUCCUGCUAAAACGUGAUGAGUUGACUCUGGAAGGCAUCAAACAGUUUUUUGUGGCAGUGGAAAGAGAAGAGUGGAAGUUUGACACCCUGUGUGAUCUCUACGACACACUGACCAUCACACAAGCGGUCAUCUUCUGUAACACCAAGAGGAAGGUUGACUGGCUGACAGAGAAGAUGAGAGAAGCCAAUUUCACCGUGUCCUCGAUGCACGGAGACAUGCCGCAGAAGGAGCGCGAGUCCAUCAUGAAGGAGUUCCGGGCCGGCGCCAGCCGAGUGCUCAUCUCCACAGACGUCUGGGCCAGGGGCUUGGAUGUCCCGCAGGUGUCCCUCAUCAUUAACUACGACCUGCCCAAUAACAGAGAGUUGUACAUACACAGAAUUGGGAGAUCAGGUCGAUAUGGUCGAAAGGGUGUGGCCAUUAAUUUUGUAAAGAACGACGACAUCCGCAUCCUCCGAGAUAUUGAACAGUACUACUCCACUCAGAUUGAUGAAAUGCCUGUGAACGUUGCCGAUCUGAUCUGAAGAAACAGUCCCACUGCGCUGUAGAUGGGUUGGAGGUGGUUCACAUAUUUUGUAGUCCUGUUUGGAAACACUUAGGGUCAGCUUCCAUUAAAGGGGUUUAUGUGAAAUCUCUUCUCAUAGUGCCCCCAGGAAAAG